UUCUUGCCAAUAUCAACAAAGACCAAGUUGAAAUAAACCCUAACCUAUCGAAACUUCUAAUUUAUAACAUAAGAUCAUAUUAAGUCAGAACUUAAGCCUGAUAAGACUCUUUAUGAUUCAAACUCAGGAUUCUACUGCCUCCAACAAAUAUUAAUUUGAUUUUACUAUUAAUUUUCCUAGUAAUUACAGAUUCAAUAUUUGUAUAUCUCUUUUACUAAUGAAAGGCUUUUUUCAAGUAAUUAAAAAAUGAGAACAAAACAAAAAAGCAAAUAGUAAGAAGAGUUUACAGUGAAAAACAACCCCUCCUACUCUUGUCUCCCAGUCUUAUCUACCCCUCCUUCUUCAUAAAAACAAA
rnacentral:lncRNA from 1 species